UCCGUAGGCGGUGCGGCAAGUCGGUAGUGAAAUCUCAGGGCUUAACCCUGAGGCUGCUUCCGAAACUGCCGUGCUCGAGUGCGAGAGAGGCGAGUGGAAUUGCAGGUGUAGCGGUGAAAUGCGUAGAUAUCUGCAGGAACAUCCGAGGCGAAAGCGGCUCGCUGGAUCGCAACUGACGCUGAGGGACGAAAGCUAGGGGAGCAAACAGGAUUAGAUACCCUGGUAGUCCUAGCCCUAAACGAUUAGGACUGGGCGUGGGCCUCGUACGGGGCUCGUGCCGCAGCUAACGCGUUAAGUCCUGCGCCUGGGGAGUACGGUCGCAAGGCUGAA
rnacentral:rRNA from 1 species